GCCCCGGUAGCUCAGCGGGAGAGCGACCGGCUGAAGACCGGUAGGUCGUGGGUUCAAGUCCCACCCGGGGCA
rnacentral:tRNA from 1 species